rnacentral:rRNA from 1 species
AUUGAACGCUGGCGGCAUGCCUUACACAUGCAAGUCGAACGGCAGCACGGGUGCUUGCACCUGGUGGCGAGUGGCGAACGGGUGAGUAAUACAUCGGAACAUGUCCUGUAGUGGGGGAUAGCCCGGCGAAAGCCGGAUUAAUACCGCAUACGAUCUACGGAUGAAAGCGGGGGACCUUCGGGCCUCGCGCUAUAGGGUUGGCCGAUAGCUGAUUAGCUAGUUGGUGGGGUAAAGGCCUACCAAGGCGACGAUCAGUAGCUGGUCUGAGAGGACGACCAGCCACACUGGGACUGAGACACGGCCCAGACUCCUACGGGAGGCAGCAGUGGGGAAUUUUGGACAAUGGGCGAAAGCCUGAUCCAGCAAUGCCGCGUGUGUGAAGAAGGCCUUCGGGUUGUAAAGCACUUUUGUCCGGAAAGAAAUCCUUGGCUCUAAUACAGUCGGGGGAUGACGGUACCGGUAGAAUAAGCACCGGCUAACUACGUG